CUAAGAAAGAAUUUAAUUUUGGUUCAGACUGAACGUUGUCCAGUUGUUUUAAGGCAUGCAAAUCGUUAUUAACUUCGGUUAAUAAGGUGUACGGGUGAGUAAUAAUAAAUAAGAUACCCAACAGACUUCGGUAAUAGAGGAUAGUUCUUUUUUUUUGUUUAGAAAUUAAGAAUAAAGGGACUUCAUUUAUGUUAUCUAAAAAUUUUUUCAAUUAUUUAGAAAUAUAAUUCCUACUGUAGGAUUCUAUUUAUCUUGAAUAGGUAGUUGAUAGGGUAAUGGCCUACCAAGCCUACGAUCAAUAGCCAGCUUGAAAGAGGGAUUGGCCACAUUGGGUCUGAGAUUUACCCAAGUAGUGCAUAACUACCAGCAGCCGAGAAUAUUUGUCAAUGCUCGCAAGAGUGAACAAGCCAACUGGAAUCACAACAACUUGUGAUAAAGUAAGGGAGGAUAAUGACGUUACCUUACUAUUAGUGUCGUCUAAAAUUGGUGCCAGAAGACUCGGUAAUACCAAAUACACAAACGUUAGUCAUCAUGAAUAGGCGUAAAGGGUUUGUAGGCUGCUCAUAAAAUUUAUAUAAUAAGAGCUAGAAUCAAAUAGAGGUCAAUAUCAUACCUAGUGAAAGAAUUAAAUCUGUAAAUAUUAGGGGGAAUACUAGAAGCGAAGGCGAUUUUCCAUUUAAUGAUUGACGCUGAGACACGAAGGUUGGGGCAGGAAAUAGGAUUAGAUACCCUAGCACUCCCAACUGUAAACGAUGAAUGGUAGGUGUUAAUUAUAUUAAAAUUAGUACCGAUGUGAACACGCUAACCAUUCCGCCUUGUGAGUAUACUUGCAAAAGUGAAAACAAAAAAAUUAGUCGGCCCCGAAGCAAACGAAGUGAAGCAUGUUGUUUAAUACGAUAAUCCGCGUAAAAUCUUACCAUGGCUUGAAUAUAACUUUUCUAAGAAUAUUUCACGUAAAAAUAUUCAUUUGUUAAAAAUAAUUCUAAUUUUGAUCAAAAAUCAAACUGUGAAGAAUGAUUAACGGAGAAAAGGAAUAAUUACUAUUAUUCAUUUACAGGUGUUGCAUGGCUGUCGUCGGUUCGUAUCGUGAGAUGUUUGGUUAAUUCCGCUAACGAACGCAAUCCCUAUUGUUAAUUUAUACUUAACACUGGCUUACCCUAAAAAAGGGAAGUUGUUUGGGGCUAUGACAAGCCGUUAUGACCCUUAUGCCGUGGGCUAUAGACGUGCCACAAAAACUUUAACAAUAUGAAGCAAUCCAUCGCCAAGUCUCGAGUAAUUUCUGGUAGCAGUAGUGAAAAGACUAGUUGGAGAACAUGAGGAGCUAAUCAUCAAAAUAAGUUAUAGCCGGAUUGUUGCCUGAAACUCGGCAACAUGAAGAAGGAAUUUCGAGUAAUCGUUUGAUCACCAGCGCAACGGUGAAGACAUAAUUCGGGGUGAACUAACUGUCUGUCAAUUGGAAGAAGCUUUACAUACAGGAAGGUGUGAUAAAUGAACCAUUUUAGUAAGAAAUUAAUGUGUUAGAAUAAAAUUUUUUGUUCUAAGUUUUUAUUUAAAGUUCAGGAGUUGUAUCCAAUGUAUGAAAGUAACAUCUAAUAAGUUAACCGGAAUUAGUACCCGGAACUGGCUUAAAAACUAUCAAAAACGGGGGAACUCCUAAAUCUCGUGAGAGAAAGGACAAUCGCCGUGCUAAAUUCCGUGCCCGAUAGGGUGUCGAAGCUUAGGAAACUAAAGACGGAUAAAAGUGUAACGAGCAGAUGGUAGUCCUCUGGGCAAGCAUAAGUAAGCCCCAGUAAGGUGUGCUCUUAUUGCGUAGUAAUACGUAACUACUCGAAGUAACAGUAAAGUAGUUUUAAAUUAAUAACUGGGGGAGACCGUUUAUAUUAAAAACGGAGGACUCCUUAAUGCUAUCUGGUAAUCAUUCCAGUUAAACCCAGUUAGGCUGCAUAGCAAGGUAGCGGUACUGGAAAGUGCCGCUGUAUUAUACAAAUC
rnacentral:rRNA from 1 species